rnacentral:rRNA from 1 species
GACGAACGCUGGCGGCGUGCUUAACACAUGCAAGUCGAACGGAAAGGCCCUGCGUUUGUGGGGUGCUCGAGUGGCGAACGGGUGAGUAACACGUGAGUAACCUGCCCUUGACUUUGGGAUAACUUCAGGAAACUGGGGCUAAUACCGGAUCGGAGCUCCUGCUGCAUGGUGGGGGUUGGAAAGUUUCGGCGGGUGGGGAUGGACUCGCGGCUUAUCAGUUUGUUGGUGGGGGAGUGGCUGACCAAGGCUUUGACGGGUAGCCGGCCUGAGAGGGUGACCGGCCACAUUGGGACUGAGAUACGGCCCAGACUCCUACGGGAGGCAGCAGUGGGGAAUAUUGCACAAUGGGCGGAAGCCUGAUGCAGCAACGCCGCGUGCGGGAUGACGGCCUUCGGGUUGUAAACCGCUUUCGCCUGUGACGAAGCGUGAGUGACGGUAAUGGGUAAAGAAGCACCGGCUAACUACGUG